UGGGGGCGCUGCAUGCUCGAAGUGGACACUAUCGGACAAUAAGUGGCACUAUUCAUGGCGGUACAACAUCACAAUGAGCACAUUCGCGCGACGUUAGAAAAGGUUGUCACCUACGCAAUUUCUCGUCGCAGAAAUGAACGAAGAUAAUCCUGUCAUUUCAACAGCUUUUCGUGGAUCACCAGCAGUUGCCAAAGAACCUCACAGGGGAUGGAGCGACGAAUCAGCGAACAGCAGCACUCAGAUUUAUUUGCCGGUGGUUUGACAUGAAUUGAAGCUGCCGUCAUGGAUAUGUGGUGCAUCACUCAACACAGAUAACCUUGUCAUUUCAACUACUUCUCGUGGAAUACUGCAGUUGAGCUGGUAAGCAGAGUGCCACGGGGAACGACCCACCGAACUAUAAGCGAACACCGGACACUAUUUAUUUGCCAGUGGGCUAACAUUGAGGGGCAGAGUGGUGUCGUUAGGAUUCAUGUAGGGCCUUUCACAAGAUUAAGAACUAGUAAAUGCAGUAGAUUAAAAAGCACAAUUACAUUGAAGUGAUAAAAGGAAACUCGUCAAUUCAGAGAUGAAAGGUCACAAUCUUGACAAUUGAGCAUUCAGAUUCAUUUUGCAAAUAGGGGCAAAACGUUAAAACAAAAAGUACCAAUACAUUAUAACUAGAGUGAGAAGUGCUAAAGUGUCACAAUUGCAACAAAUCCAUUCUUGCCAAACCUUCUUGGGUCUUAUUCUGUUGCCUAGUGCUUCAGUGAGACAAGAAGAGGGCAGAGAGCGGACUUAGCCUCUUGCUAAAAAUAAACUUUCCGGACAUGUAUGCGUUUUUGAUUGUGGUGCUUUGUAUAUAUUUGUAUAUAAUGUGUAUAUCCAUAUAUUUGUAUAUGAUGUGUCUAUCCAUUGGACAAAAUAUAUCGUCAAAGUUAAACUUUUUAAAAUUUAAAGUGAUUUUUUUUAAUACUAACAUUGUAUAUUUGUUUUCUUUACAACAGAAGGUCACGUUAAUCUGAGAUGUUAAUUUAGGCACACAGUUUUCAAUUUAGGGUUUUUCAGUUCAAAAAUACUUAUUGAGAACAUUAUUUUGUGUAUAGAAAUUGCUCGAUGAAUUGCUGUCACUGAAGCUACAGUAAACCAUUUAAAACAAUAACCAAUUACCAAUAAAAGAAUCGGAAAUUCCGGCAUCAUAUGAAGUUCAGCCUGGAAUGACGUCACAGUUGUGGAACAUGAAUAUUCAUGUCGAUUAGUGUUAAAACUAUCUAGACAUGCAAACACCCUUUUCUUUGGCAAUAUGAAUAUUCAAAAAAACGUUUAAUGACAUGCAGAGUCAAAAUGUAAAUACAACAUUACCUUUUUAAUUUAUUUUAUCUGUUUAUAACAAGUAAACAAAAUUACACUGGGAAAAUGCGAUGUGGCGAAAAGUUAUGUUGCUGGCUAAUAUCAAUUGUAUCUAGCUCAAGAAUUGUGUGUAAAUAUUGGCUUUAUUGUACAAAAUAUUUGUGCAAGAUAUUUUCUGUGAAAGUUGUAACUUUAAGUGUGGUUUAUAGUUUUGUUUGCAGUUUAACAAAGAGCAUGUUUAAAAUCAGAAUAAUUGUGUUUUCUUCAGAAAGAACUUGAGUUUUUGAAGAUUUUUUCUGAUUUUUUUUAAAAAUAAACCACUGUGUUCUUUUUACCUUUAUACAUGUAAUUCAAUACACACAAUUUUGUAAUUCACAUGUAAUUCAAAACACACAAGUGUCAUGUUUUUGGUGGUUUUACAAAUCCAGAAUGUGGAUUGUUCUGGCUGAAAUAAGUUGUUUGUUUAUUUUAUGUUUAUUUAUUUAUUAUUGAUUUAUUAUAUUUUGUAUUGAUUUAUUCUAUUUUAUUGUUAGUACAUUGCAGCCACCAAUGACCAAAUGCUUACGAUGAGCUAACUAAUGACUCCAGACCCAUAUUACACUUGUGCAAAAAAACCCUGAUCUUUGCAUAUUAUGAUUGCCUGAGUUCAAACAAGUUGCAGAAAUGCACUAAACAGGUAACGACGAAUAUGCGCGUCUAAUUGUUUUCAAAGUUCAUGAUUCAUACUGGAUACUGGAUUAUUCCUCUUCGCAGACUUAAAAUUAAAACUCAUUUAAGUAAUUGAAUUUAUUCUUCAAAAAAGGAUCUGUAAUCUACUGUCUUUCCUUUUUAAAGAACCAUAACCGUCUGUCACGUGAUGAGUGUAAACACGGAGACUGCAGUAAACAAGUCAUACUCCUACAAAGCAAACAUGAUGAAUCAGGAACUCGAUGCUCUUUAGCGACCCUUGUACUGCGGCUUUCUGCAACUCUGAUUAAAAAAAACCUGCAUUGUAAAAGAAACUUCAUUGCCGUAUGAAUGGCGUAAGUGAACUUGAGGUCAAGAGGCAGAGUGGUGUCGUUAGGAUUCAUUUAGGGCCUUUCACAAGAUUAAGAACUAGUAAAUGCAGUACAUUAAAACGCACAAUAACAUUGAAGUGAUAAAAAGGCAACUCGUCAAUUCAGAGAUGAAAGGUCACAGUCUUGACAAUUGAGCAUUCAGAUUCAUUUUGCAAAUAAGGGCAAAUCGUUAAAAAAAAAAGUACCAAUACAUUAUAACAAGAGUGAGAAGUGCUAAAGUGUCACAAAUGCAACAAAUCCAUUCUUGCCAAACCUUCUUGGGUCUUAUUCUGUUGCCUAGUGCUUCAGUGUGACAAGAAGAGGGCGGAGUUCGGACUUAGCCUCUUGCUAAAAAUAAACUUUCCGGACAUGCAUCCAUUUUUGAUUGCGGUGCUGUGUAUAUAUUUGUACAUAAUGUGUAUAUCCAUAUAUUUGUAUAUGAUGUGUCUAUCCAUUGGAUAAAAUAUAUCGCCAAAGUUGAACUUUUUAAAAUUUAAAGUGAUUUUUUUAAUACUAAAAUUGUAUCAUUUGUUUUCUUUACAGCAGAAGGCCAAGUUAAUCUGAGAUGUCAAUUUAGGCACACAGUUUUCAAUUUAGGGUUUUUCAGCUCAGAAAUACUUAUUGAGAACAUAAUUUUGUGUAUAGAAAUUGCUCAAAGAAUUGCUGUCACUGAAGCUACAGUAAAUCAUUUAAAACAAUACCAAUUACCAGUAAAAGAAUCGGAAAUUCCGACAUCAUGUGAAGUUCAGCCUGGAAUGACACCACAGUUUUGGAACAUGAAUAUUCAUG
rnacentral:lncRNA from 1 species